GACGUAGGGCGCGAGCGUUGUCCGGAUUUAUUGGGCGUAAAGAGCUCGUAGGCGGUCUGUCGCGUCUGCUGUGAAAACUCAGGGCUUAACCCUGAGCUUGCAGUGGGUACGGGCAGACUAGAGUGCGGUAGGGGAGACUGGAAUUCCUGGUGUAGCGGUGAAAUGCGCAGAUAUCAGGAGGAACACCGGUGGCGAAGGCGGGUCUCUGGGCCGUAACUGACGCUGAGGAGCGAAAGCUAGGGGAGCGAAAGGG
rnacentral:rRNA from 1 species